UACGUAGGGUGCGAGCGUUGUCCGGAAUUACUGGGCGUAAAGCGUGCGUAGGUGGUUUUUUAAGUCCGUUGUGAAAGCCCUGGGCUCAACCUGGGAAUGGCAGUGGAUACUGGAAAGCUAGAGUGCGGUAGAGGGUAGUGGAAUUCCCGGUGUAGCAGCGAAAUGCGUAGAGAUCGGGAGGAACACCAGUGGCGAAGGCGGCUACCUGGACCAGCACUGACACUGAGGCACGAAAGCGUGGGGAGCAAACAGG
rnacentral:rRNA from 1 species